UACGAAGGGGGCGAGCGUUGUCCGGAAUUAUUGGGCGUAAAGAGCUCGUAGGCGGUUCGUCGCGUCGGCUGUGAAAUCCCGAGGCUCAACCUCGGGUCUGCAGUCGAUACGGGCGGACUGGAGUUCGGCAGGGGAGACUGGAAUUCCUGGUGUAGCGGUGAAAUGCGCAGAUAUCAGGAGGAACACCGGUGGCGAAGGCAGGUCUCUGGGCCACUACUGACGCUGAGAAGCGAAAGCAUGGGGAGCGAACAGG
rnacentral:rRNA from 1 species